rnacentral:rRNA from 1 species
UGCAGCAUCCACAUUUACGGUUGUCAUCACCUAGAGUUGAACUUAACACGGUUACUCACUGAAGCUAAGUAGGGCUGAGCCUGGUCAGUACCUGGAUGGGAGACCACUAGGGAACAGUAGGUUGCUGUUGGAA